ACUCAACAUUAAUUAAGUUAAAAAGGGUGAGUUUAGAUUGUAAAAGCAGGCCUUACUCGUAUAAGGAUCCUUGAUCAGUCUGUUAGCCCUAAACCUGUUUAUCGGAGUUU
rnacentral:sRNA from 2 species